rnacentral:lncRNA from 1 species
UUGUAUUACUCCCACUAGAGAACAAUCAGCUGACAAGCAUAUAAAACUCCAUCAGAUGUUCUCUCGAUAGGUCAAUUCAGAGAACUUAUUCUCUAAUGAAUAUCCACAUCCUCGUAUUUGUGUCAUCAUAUAAAUGAUUAUGAAAUUAACUAUCCUCUCCAUCGAGCAUACAUAGGAUGUGCCAGUCUUACCAGUAUCAUUGAUCUCAAACUCAGUGAUCCUAUGAUUGAGAAUAUUUUAGUUCAGAAUAAUUCAAGAUUUAGAUCUCACUAAUAUGAUCUCAUCAUAAUUUUAAAAUCAUUGUCCUAAUCUAUGGAG